rnacentral:rRNA from 1 species
GAUGAACGCUAGCGGCAGGCUUAGCACGUGCAAGUCGAGGGGCAGCGGGGUGUAGCAAUACAUCGCCGGCGACCGGCGCACGGGUGCGUAACACGUAUGGAAUCUGCCCUGUACUGGGAGAUAGCCCGGAGAAAUCCGGAUUAAUAUCCCAUAAUAAUCGAGAUGGCAUCACCCUGCUUUGAAAGCUCCGUCGGUACAGGAUGACCAUGCGCACGAUUAGCUAGUUGGUGAGGUAACGGCUCACCAAGGCUACGAUCGUUAGGGGGCCUGAGAGGGUUAUCCCCCACACUGGUACUGAGACACGGACCAGACUCCUACGGGAGGCAGCAGUGAGGAAUAUUGCGCAAUGGAGGAAACUCUGACGCAGCCAUGCCGCGUGCAGGAAGAAGGCGCUACGCGUUGUAAACUGCUUUUAACCGGGAAGAAACCCCAGGACGUGUCCUGGGUUGACGGUACCGGAGGAAUAAGCACCGGCUAACUUCGUGCCAGCCGCCGCCGUAA